GAAACUCAUAUUUGGCUGAUAAAACUCUUAAAUGUGACUGAAGUUUAUUCUUUUGGUGUUUUUUGUCUUCAGGGUGAGAUCAAGAUCAUGUGUGUCCAGCUCUAUGUCUCUGAAGAGUGACUGCUCAAAAGAUUAUCCACCAGUGUUCAGUCAGAAAACGCCAUCAUCUGCCAAAAGAAUGAAAUCGGGAUCAUGUGUGUUCAGCUCUUUGUCUCUGAAGACUGAUGGGUCAAUGGGUAAUCCACCAAAGUUUAGAGAGGAAACACAAUCAACUGCCAAAAGUGUUGAACAUGAGUUACCAGAUUCAGGAGGCGAGACUCACAAGAGCCACAAGAGUUUCAAAGACAAUCUCCUGAAGAUCUUCCAGGUGGGAAAAACUCAUUUUCAUUUAUUAAAGGGACUAAAAUAAGUCCAUGAAACACAUACAGAAUGUUUGUGUUGCACUACCGAGUCUCAUUUUAACUUGUUUUAAGGACAUUACAUCAAAGUUGGAUCAGCCUGUAGUGUGUUUUUCCACUUCAAUUUUGAGUGUCACUC